UACUUCCACAGGGGGGGCUGCCUAAAGGCGGCUGAGAGUGAACGUAAGAGUUCUGACCCUAUGAACCUGUUAGUUAACACUAGCGUAGGGAUGUGGUUUGCCGGAUAU
rnacentral:ncRNA from 2 species